rnacentral:tRNA from 1 species
ACUUAUCUAAUAUAAUAAGUAUACUUGACUUCCAAUCAAGAAGUUUGCAUUAACAAGAUAAGUA